rnacentral:rRNA from 1 species
GAUGAACGCUGGCGGCGUGCCUAAUACAUGCAAGUCGAGCGAACAGACGAGGAGCUUGCUCCUCUGACGUUAGCGGCGGACGGGUGAGUAACACGUGGAUAACCUACCUAUAAGACUGGGAUAACUUCGGGAAGCCGGAGCUAAUACCGGAUAAUAUAUUGAACCGCAUGGUUCAAUAGUGAAAGACGGUUUUGCUGUCACUUAUAGAUGGAACCGCGCCGCAUUAGCUAGUUGGUAAGGUAACGGCUUACCAAGGCGACGAUGCGUAGCCGACCUGAGAGGGUGAUCGGCCACACUGGAACUGAGACACGGUCCAGACUCCUACGAGAGGCAGCAGUAGGGAAUCUUCCGCAAUGGGCGAAAGCCUGACGGAGCAACGCCGCGUGAGUGAUGAAGGUCUUCGGAUCGUAAAACUCUGUUAUUAGGGAAGAACAAAUGUGUAAGUAACUAUGCACGUCUUGACGGUACCUAAUCAGAAAGCCACGGCUAACUACGUG